CAUGGCUCAGGACGAACGCUGGCGGCGUGCUUAACACAUGCAAGUCGAACGGAGCGAAUGAAAGCUUGCUUUUAUGAGCUUAGUGGCAAACGGGUGAGUAACACGUAGACAACCUGCCGACAGGAUGGGGACAACAUUCCGAAAGGAAUGCUAAUACCGAAUGAAGCGGAGGAGAGGCAUCUCUCCUCCGUGAAAGAUGGCCUCUAUUUAUAAGCUAUCACCUGUCGAUGGGUCUGCGUCUGAUUAGCUAGUUGGUGAGGUAACGGCUCACCAAGGCGACGAUCAGUAGCCGGUCUGAGAGGAUGAACGGCCACAUUGGGACUGAGACACGGCCCAGACUCCUACGG
rnacentral:rRNA from 1 species